rnacentral:tRNA from 1 species
GCCCGGGUGGUGAAAUAGGUAAACACAAGGGACUUAAAAUCCCUCGGCUUAACAGCUUUGCGGGUUCGAUUCCCGCUCCGGGUA